rnacentral:lncRNA from 1 species
GGCUUGCGCUGGAAAGCCCAAAGAAAGAGGAUGGAGGAAAGAAAUGUGUAGUAAGGAUUGGGAGCCAAAGGGCCUUUCUCCUUCAGUUUGACAUUACAGUUGGCUAGGGCCCAACCAUGGACAGUUUAACUUGGUUCAUUUGUUGAGUUUAUGCUCCUAUCCUACAAAAUUCUUGCCGACUCCCCCCCCCCCCCCUUUAAAUGGUACGUCAUAGAGAACAGCAAAAGCUACGGAGUGGCUAUGGUGUCUCACGUUGUCUCACGCGACUUCCUAGAUUCCAGAGGCUUCUUUUCUGUGGGCGUGGCCAAGGCAGCGGGGGUUUAUGACAAAGUUGAGCGACCUCAUGUCACUCAAACCAGCUGUAUUAAGGAAGGUGCAAGCUUUUGGGAUUUCUGUUUGGAUUUAGUUUAGGUUCAAAAGAGCACGCACAGAUCCUGAGUGUUGUCAAGCACCCGUGACUGGGAAACGGAGGCGUCCGAUCCGUAUUGGAGUCAAUUCGCCACUUAAUUGAACACAGCCUCGAAGGGAAGGGCCAUAUUUGUGGGCCUGUCUAACAAUUAAGAGUGACCACAUGGAAUGGGGGAUGAAAGGGUUAAAGAAGAACAAAUAUUGAACACAGCUUUUCUAUGAACAAACUGCAGGCAGCUGCUGCUUUGCAAGGGGAACUUCUUGGCUGCCAUUUCUGGAUGUCAAGGCUGCAGAUACACUGGUCAGGACCCUGGGUAGAGAGAGAUGCGUCAGAAUGCGGCUCCUUUCAGAAAGGCUUCUCCGGAGGUCAGCACUCGGGCAAAAGGCUGUGUGUGAUGUGUUUGGGAACACAAAGGUUGGUGAGGUCAGCUGACUACUAGAAGACAGAUCUAUUUGAAGAUUUUUGUGGUGGUCUUUACUACUCCAGAGAUUUACAGCUGAUGAAAAAUGGAGAAGUACAUGACCCUACCCUGCUGUUGGACAUGCUACCCAAGGAUCAUGACUGACAACUUGUCAACAUCACUAUUGCUUAUUUAAUAAAUGUGCAGUACUACUUCAAUAAACCUGGAAUCAUAAAAUUUUAGAGAACAAACCUUAAAUUACAUCUCU